AACAAAUCAAUAACAGAAGCAAAGAGAAUAAACAUUAAAUAAGUCCAUAAUUUCUCCACUGGCAACACAAUUUUGCUGUGGGUGUGGUGCAUGCUUCCAUCACAAUGCUAAAUGUCAAGAAUUUCACAAAUUGCUCAAUGUUUAUUUGGUCGUUUAAAAAAAGUCUUUUAAGACUUUUUUCUGGACAUUUUUGUUUUAACAACCAAUAGAAAGUAGCUCUAAAGCACACUGGUUCAACCACUUCAAACUUCUACAACCAGCUCUUCAUUACUGUUUGAAUUCUAAGGCUUCAAUUAGUCUGUCUGAUUCAUCUGAGUUUUAUACAUUUACCAAUUUUUUAAGACAAAAUUUUGCAAUGCCAGGUCAGUUUUAAUGCUGCCAUUUAGUUUUCUCACCUUCCCCUUUAAUUGGAUCACGCAGACUAUCCUCUUACAAAAUCACCAGUCCUUAAUUGAAUCCUUAUAUCCCUCUCCACCCCUUCCAACUCUUUCUUGCCCCUAGACUAUUCCUCCCUGCAGUUUAUUCUGCCUCCUCUGCAGCUCUCAGAAGCAGUGUCAGUCCCAUUCUAAAGGGAGCCUUCAGUGCAUGUUAAAGCUUUUCCUGAGCAAGAGGUCAGAGGUGUAAUGAGGACACAUGGUUUAACAUGGACACUAGAGUUGUGUGUCACUAUCACAUCGCUCCUCACAGGUGAGUUCUAAAGCUAUUAAAGAAAACUUUUUAAUUCUGUGGCGAUUUUCCUUUGUAUCCAUCUUUCUCUGCCGUAUUCAUCCAUGUCUGCAAAGCUGCACAAAGUUGUGACGUGGUCUUAACAGGUAAUUGAGCAUCGGUGUGACUGUGCUAUUUUUGGUGUCUUGGUUUCGUGCGAACCUCUCAGGGUCGGAUGGGUUAGUCUGCAACACUGCUGUGGAAUCACUGGAUUUAAGUUGCCUCCUGCGGUGGGAUUGUCCACAUGCCAGUCCCAAUAUCAGCUACAGCGUACAGACAAAGACACAGGGAGACCCCUGGCAGGAUGUGCCGUGGUGCGUUUGGAUUCUGACUCAUAGCUGUGACCUCUCUCAAGUCUUUUCAAACUUUGAGUUGUACAACAUGAUCCGUCUUGGGGUUCACCUCAGCCCCAGCUCUACUACCUGGAUGAAGCCUCUCAAGUUUGACUACAGUGACUUCACCUUCAGCUCUCCGUCUGUGUCAGUGUCCUGGAAGAAGGAGCGGCUUGCAGUAAAGGUGCAGUUUCCCUGCGCUGCCAACAGGAGGUGCUCUAUGGAAGGAUGUUGUCCUGUCACCAGACUCAUUGACCCCUGGACCACAGUCACUGUGUACAAGGAACACAAUUCCUCUGAUCAGCAGGUCCUUUCACGUCAACUUUAUUUCUCCUAUUUGUUUCCUCGUUACAACUGGAAUUCAGAAUUUCUGCUUCAAAACUGCCUUAAAAAGUUGCAAAAAGUGCUGUGCAACCCAACAAGGAUGAAUGAUUUGAACUUU